rnacentral:rRNA from 1 species
AAUGAACGUUGGCGGCGUGGAUUAGGCAUGCAAGUCGAGCGAGAACCGUAGCAAUACGGGGAAAGCGGCGCAAGGGACAGUAAUGUGUAGGUACCUACCCCUGGGUUCGGGAUAGCCGCGGGAAACUGCGGGUAAUACCGAAUAACGUCUUCGGACCAAAGGUGUGAUUCCACCUGGGGAGGGGCCUGCAUCCUAUUAGCUAGUUGGUGGGGUAACGGCUCACCAAGGCCAUGAUGGGUAGCAGGUGUGAGAGCACGACCUGCGUCACUGGGACUGAGACACUGCCCAGACACCUACGGGUGGCUGCAGUCGGGAAUCUUCGGCAAUGGGCGCAAGCCUGACCGAGCGACGCCGCGUGCGGGAUGAAGGCCUUCGGGUUGUAAACCGCUGUCAGUGGGGAGGAAGGCUCCGUGAAGAACGGGGUUUGACCUAUCCGCAGAGGAAGUGUGGGCUAAGUUCGUGCCAGCAGCCGCCGUAAAAC